rnacentral:rRNA from 1 species
UAGGUUAACGAGGCGAACCGGGGGAACUGAAACAUCUAAGUACCCCGAGGAAAAGAAAUCAACCGAGAUUCCCCCAGUAGCGGCGAGCGAACGGGGAGCAGCCCAGAGUCUGAAUCAGCUUGUGUGUUAGUGGAACGGUCUGGAAAGUCCGACGGUACAGGGUGAUAGUCCCGUACACCAAAAUGCACAGGUUGUGAACUCGAAGAGUAGGGCGGGACACGUGGUAUCCUGUCUGAAUAUGGGGGGACCAUCCUCCAAGGCUAAAUACUCCUGACUGACCGAUAGUGAACCAGUACCGUGAGGGAAAGGCGAAAAGAACCCCGGCGAGGGGAGUGAAAAAGAACCUGAAACCGUGUACGUACAAGCAGUGGGAGCACCUUCGGGUGUGACUGCGUACCUUUUGUAUAAUGGGUCAGCGACUUAUAUUCUGUAGCAAGGUUAACCGUAUAGGGGAGCCGCAGGGAAACCGAGUCUUAACUGGGCGUUAAGUUGCAGGGUAUAGACCCGAAACCCGGUGAUCUAGCCAUGGGCAGGUUGAAGGUUGGGUAACACUAACUGGAGGACCGAACCGACUAAUGUUGAAAAAUUAGCGGAUGACUUGUGGCUGGGGGUGAAAGGCCAAUCAAACCGGGAGAUAGCUGGUUCUCCCCGAAAGCUAUUUAGGUAGCGCCUCGUGAACUCAUCUUCGGGGGUAGAGCACUGUUUCGGCUAGGGGGUCAUCCCGACUUACCAACCCGAUGCAAACUACGAAUACCGAAGAAUGUUAUCACGGGAGACACACGGCGGGUGCUA